rnacentral:rRNA from 1 species
GGAGCUUGCUCCACCGGAAAAAGAAGAGUGGCGAACGGGUGAGUAACACGUGGGUAACCUGCCCAUCAGAAGGGGAUAACACUUGGAAACAGGUGCUAAUACCGUAUAACAAUCGAAACCGCAUGGUUUUGAUUUGAAAGGCGCUUUCGGGUGUCGCUGAUGGAUGGACCCGCGGUGCAUUAGCUAGUUGGUGAGGUAACGGCUCACCAAGGCCACGAUGCAUAGCCGACCUGAGAGGGUGAUCGGCCACAUUGGGACUGAGACACGGCCCAAACUCCUACGGGAGGCAGCAGUAGGGAAUCUUCGGCAAUGGACGAAAGUCUGACCGAGCAACGCCGCGUGAGUGAAGAAGGUUUUCGGAUCGUAAAACUCUGUUGUUAGAGAAGAACAAGGAUGAGAGUAACUGUUCAUCCCUUGACGGUAUCUAACCAGAAAGCCACGGCUAACUACGUGCCAGCAGCCGCGGUAAUACGUAGGUGGCAAGCGUUGUCCGGAUUUAUUGGGCGUAAAGCGAGCGCAGGCGGUUUCUUAAGUCUGAUGUGAAAGCCCCCGGCUCAACCGGGGAGGGUCAUUGGAAACUGGGAGACUUGAGUGCAGAAGAGGAGAGUGGAAUUCCAUGUGUAGCGGUGAAAUGCGUAGAUAUAUGGAGGAACACCAGUGGCGAAGGCGGCUCUCUGGUCUGUAACUGACGCUGAGGCUCGAAAGCGUGGGGAGCAAACAGGAUUAGAUACCCUGGUAGUCCACGCCGUAAACGAUGAGUGCUAAGUGUUGGAGGGUUUCCGCCCUUCAGUGCUGCAGCUAACGCAUUAAGCACUCCGCCUGGGGAGUACGACCGCAAGGUUGAAACUCAAAGGAAUUGACGGGGGCCCGCACAAGCGGUGGAGCAUGUGGUUUAAUUCGAAGCAACGCGAAGAACCUUACCAGGUCUUGACAUCCUUUGACCACUCUAGAGAUAGAGCUUCCCCUUCGGGGGCAAAGUGACAGGUGGUGCAUGGUUGUCGUCAGCUCGUGUCGUGAGAUGUUGGGUUAAGUCCCGCAACGAGCGCAACCCUUAUUGUUAGUUGCCAUCAUUUAGUUGGGCACUCUAGCAAGACUGCCGGUGACAAACCGGAGGAAGGUGGGGAUGACGUCAAAUCAUCAUGCCCCUUAUGACCUGGGCUACACACGUGCUACAAUGGGAAGUACAACGAGUCGCGAAGUCGCGAGGCUAAGCUAAUCUCUUAAAGCUUCUCUCAGUUCGGAUUGUAGGCUGCAACUCGCCUACAUGAAGCCGGAAUCGCUAGUAAUCGCGGAUCAGCACGCCGCGGUGAAUACGUUCCCGGGCCUUGUACACACCGCCCGUCACACCACGAGAGUUUGUAACACCCGAAGUCGGUGAGGUAACCUUUGAGC